UGAAGAACUUGUUCAGAUUUGAUUUUCAACAUUGCAAUGAGUGGCGAACGGGUGAGUAACACGUGGGAAACCUACCUCUUAGCAGGGGAUAACAUUUGGAAACAAAUGCUAAUACCGUAUAAUAAUUAAAACCGCAUGGUUUUAGUUUAAAAGAUGGUCUUGCUAUCACUAAGAGAUGGUCCCGCGGUGUAUUAGUUAGUUGGUGAGGUAAUGGCUCACCAAGACAAUGAUACAUAGCCGAGUUGAGAGACUGACCGGCCACAAUGGGACUGAGACACGGCCCAUACUCCUACGGGAGGCAGCAGUAGGGAAUCUUCCACAAUGGACGAAAGUCUGAUGGAGCAACCCCGCGUGUGUGAUGAAGGGUUUCGGCUCGUAAAACACUGUUGUAAGAGAAGAAUGACAUUGAGAGUAACUGUUCAAUGUGUGACGGUAUCUUACCA
rnacentral:rRNA from 1 species